AUUGAACGCUGGCGGCAUGCCUUACACAUGCAAGUCGAACGGUAACAGGUCUUCGGAUGCUGACGAGUGGCGAACGGGUGAGUAAUACAUCGGAACGUGCCUAGUAGUGGGGGAUAACUACUCGAAAGAGUGGCUAAUACCGCAUGAGAUCUACGGAUGAAAGCAGGGGAUCGCAAGACCUUGUGCUACUAGAGCGGCCGAUGGCAGAUUAGGUAGUUGGUGGGAUAAAAGCUUACCAAGCCGACGAUCUGUAGCUGGUCUGAGAGGACGAUCAGCCACACAGGGACUGAGCAACGGCCCAGACUCCUACGGGAGGCAGCAGUGGGGAAUUUUGGACAAUGGGCGCAAGCCUGAUCCAGCAAUGCCGCGUGCAGGAUGAAGGCCUUCGGGUUGUAAACUGCUUUUGUACGGAACGAAAAGCCCCGGGUUAAUACCCUGGGGUCAUGACGGUACCGUAAGAAUAAGCACCGGCUAACUACGUGCCAGCCGCCGCCGAA
rnacentral:rRNA from 1 species